UAGACCUGAGACCACUACAAAAUCUUGUGUACAUAAAUUUAUAUUUUGGUUCAUACCUAGGCAUGGCAUUAAGACAUGUACGGAUUAUUCUGAAUAUGGUAAAGUGUGUAUGAAAUUUAUGAGUAGGUCAACAUAGAAUCGAUCACUCCUAGUAAGAGGAGAUCGCAUCCUGUGUAUUCAUAAUCCUAGAUGACUUGAG
rnacentral:lncRNA from 1 species